AAGUAAAAGUAAGUGUACUAAAGUAGGGUAUUUUGUCUAAUUUUUUUCAUGUACAUGUGGAGGAGAACCACCUCCAAGGGAACUGAUAGCAGUGCAUUUGCUUGCUAACUGCCACUUAGACCCGUUGAAGAUUUUCUGAAGUUGAAGUCCAAGAAAGAGAAGACAGCCAGAAGUAGCUUUGUGUACGUUUCAUGGCUUAUAGGCCUACUGGGGAAACUUGCCAUGUAAAAAAGCAAGUAAUGAAUUAAGCUUGGCAUCUCUAUGGUGAUGUGGAAAUCUGAGUGUUGUCAAUAAAGAAAUUAAUUCGGUG